CUGUGCGGCUGCUCCCUGAUCUCCCAGGCCGGCUGCCUUUGCUCUUUCCCCGCCUCCUGCUCUCAUUCGCCCCCCACUUCGGCCCGGGCCGUUCUGUGGGCUAGUUUGUCGUUUCUUUCUUUUUCACCUUACCCCUCUGUUGCACUGUGCGCAGCCCUCAAACGCCACGCCCGCUAUUAACCGUCUGCCUUUCCCUGAACCUAGGAGAGCCCCGGGAUCAGUGCUGCGAACCCCAGUUGGUGGUGGGGACCCCGGGCGGGUGCCAGGCCAGGCCCGUGGCUGCCCGCGCGGCGCACUUGGGGGUCUCAUCUGGACCCGCUGUCGGGCACCGACACCAGCCACCGCGUCUGUCUGCCGUUUCGCACGGAAAUACACAAGGGAGAGAAUCAUGACCCUCUUUUCACCCAGCGAUGUCAGGAAAAAACAACAAACCAUCUGUGCUCACUAUAUAAAUGUAAGGCAUCAAAGAAACUGAUUUAUGCACGGUUUUUGGAAAUACUGAGGCUUUACAAAGUGAGACACAUCGGCAAAGCCUCUAUUUUCCUUGAUAGAAAUCAAGCACCUACCCAAGAGAGUACAUCUAACAUAGAAAAAUUCAGAAAGUGGCAACCACAGGGUGAUUCCAAAAUGCUUGUGCAGACGGCCUUCAGGGUGGUAGGAAUGCUAAUCCCAGCAUUUUCGAUUUGGCACGUUAUGGGGAAGCCUGAAUAUGAGUUUUAAUUGGAACAAGAAGAAUCUUUGAGGAGACUGAGCCCUGUUCAAAAUGAAAACUUAAAAGAAUUAACUGGAAAUUAUGGCUGCUGAAAAUUCAUGUGUAAAGGCAAUAUUAACGUUGUUGGACCUCAGAUUCUAAGAAUAUCAGAGUGACUUUUGCCAGAAGAGUCAUUACUUUUGUCAGGAACUGUCUAGAAGGAGCGUCUAUCUACUCAAGUUAUCACAACUCUGAAGUUAGAAUUUUUCUCAUAUCCCUGGUACGGGAGGUAUAACCGGGCGCCGUGAGGUGCUGCAAUCAGGAAAUGGAAGGUCAGAGAUGAUGUGUUAUGAUCUGUGCUAUCUUCUUCCCUGCCCCAAGUAUCAGUGUGACUGUCUCUGGACGUCGGGCCUUUAAAGAGGUAAUUCAGACAAGAUGAGGCGCUACAGGUGGCUGUCAUUCAAUGACUGACCUUACCCGGAGGGGUUAGGAUGUAGACACGGUUACAGAAUGGCCUUGUGAAGACACAGGGAGAAAGUGGCCAUUAGCAAGCCCAGAAGAGAGAGGUGUCGUGAGGACGCAGCCCUGCCACACUGUGAUCCCAGGCUUGCAGACCCUGGGACUCUGAGAAGACACAUCCCCGAAGCCACCCCGGUCUAUACCACUACGAUCUGGGAUCUGGCAGCCUGGGUAAACGGACAUGUGGAGACCACAGGGCACAAGUCCACCUCGAUGGAGCCGGUGAUCUCUCUUCAGCGUUUCUUGCUCAUUUGCCUCACUGAUCUCUACCUGCAGACUUGCUUUCUCUGAUGUGGGAUGAGCAUGACAAAAGUGGUCUCCUUAGCCCGGAUUCUGGGUGACCUCUCUCAGUGCCAGUGCCUCAGACCAACCACACGAAGUCUCCCAAAGGGAUAAUCUGACUAAUUCAGCAGGGCCCAGUAUUCAUCCCCAUAUAACAGGAGCUGUGGCUUUAGGGAGAUGAGAGUCACGUGAUGGAAACGCGGACACCUGGCCAUCCCCACCUGUCUGAGAUAUUGGUAAUGACUAAUUCACAUGAGGAGUUCCAGGACAGGCAGGCAACCCAUAGCGACCUACUACACUGACCCUAAGCAGAUCCUUCAAGAUGUAAGUACAACAAUCAGACCAAGCCAUCACAGAUGGGCCACUGGG